GCCAACUAGAGCAAUUUUUCCACCAGUUGCAAUCUCUGCAAUAAAUAUAUCAUCAAUGUACAUUUACACAUCAACUACAUCGACAAUGCACAUUUACACACUUUGAUGUUAACGAUUUUUUGCUUUAAGAAUUGUCCUACUCGAGCAAUUAUUCCACCAGUUGCAAUUCCACAAUAAAUAUAUCAAAACUGGACAUUUACACAUUAACUACAUCGACAAUGCACAUAACCUAUUCACUGUGAGAAACAAUGUCUACCCAAGUGUGAAGUGUCUUGUGUUACUCAAUGGAAAAUACAAAACAAAAAAUGUACCAAAUAAGUAAAGGAAAUAAAGGAAAACAAAAUAGUAAGAUAAUUAAAUCAGAAAUUUAGAAUCACAGUGGUCAAACGGUCAAAGUGUCUUGUGUUGUUCAAAGGAAAAUGACUAAAUUCAGAAAAAAUAGGAGUUAAUGUGCCUGAGACAGCAAAGGUAUGGUUAAAUAAUAACACUCUUGAUAUCGUUAAUACCACCAAGUAUAUCACUUGCUAGCUUUAGACCAAACUUGGAACAAAAUCAUGUAUUCAAUUUUUGUUGUUCACCUCAUUUUAGACACAACCAUAAAGGGCUUCAACCUCGUUCAUGUCAUAGUUUUCAGUUGCCACUAACUAUUGUUUUUCAAGUGCAGCAACAUCAAGUACUUCACUUGCUACUAACUAAAUGGAUAUGUAUACAUAUUUAAAAUACUCAUAUCAUAAAAAGUAAAACCUGAGCAACAUAAAUAUAGUAUAAACUGAUGUCAAAUAUGGUUCACACAUAAACAAACACAAAAAGAUCGGCCAAAUGAGAACAUUUAUUUAGAAUGAUUAAACAUGAGAUUAGAAAUAUAUCAUCUUAUCUAGCAAUUGGCCAAGUUCAUCUCAUAGAAUAUCAUGACUUCAUUAAUAUUAUUCCAAUAACGCCAUGCAGUCAACUUCAGUAGAUUCAAUCAUUAUCAGUUCUAAUGAAAAAAAGUCAGCCCUCAUAAAUGAACUGCUCUGAUCCUAUUAAUUCACAUUUCCUAUAUAAUGAAACAUAUGAAAAGAGAUGAGCUCAAAUUAAUCAUAUUUACUGGAGGGCGAGGAAGGCACAAACCACUCACUUUUCGAUGAUAAUUGGUCAAUUGCAAAUAUAAAUCUAUUUCUCGCAAAUAGAUUGAGCUCAAAUUAAUCAUAUUUUUGAGGUUACGCCAAGUAGUCUGCACCAACAAAUAAACUUGAGAUUAGUUGAGAAAGGUGAUUACUUACACACAGAAAAAGAGGUGAAUAUAUUAUGAUGUACCAAUAGACGAAUUGAGAGGCAGUAUGAAUUCAAACAAUAACAAAUAAAAUAUUGCUUGAUAAUUUGUUUCCAAAUUUGCCCAAUAAAAAACUCAGUAAUACAUUUCAUCUGAUAUCAGUUGGUCAAUAUUAAAGUACCAACAAAAAUAGAGAAAAACAAGGGAAAAGAGGACUAAAAAUUCUUAUGAAGGUUCAAGCAAGCACCACCUAUGAUUUUGCUCAAUCAUGCAUAUAACACUGUUAUGACUUAAUCAUUGACCACCUGCAUUCAUAAUGGGGAAGAUAAGAAUAAGAGAUAUAAAGAAAAGAAAGGAUAUGUUUGCUACAUACUUAAAUUGAUCCUUCUAGCCUACUAAUAACAUACAUCAGGGCAAUACAUGUUAAUAGCGGCUCCCAAAAAGACUUAGCAAUGCUGGUAGAAUGUUGAAUAAAUCAUUAUGACUUAAACUUACAAAAGGCCAAUACAUUACCUGAAUUGCUUGUGGUAGAACUGAGAUUCGACUGGUUCUGUGAUAGAAAAUGAAGAAGACUGAAGGGAGAGGACUUGAGAAAAAGAUAAUUAUACUAUCGUAAGAUUGACAUAGCAACUUUGUGCAAGCAAAAGAAAAGAGAGAUUAGCUAAAUGGUUAUAGCAGAAUUGAUAUAUAUGACAUUUUGUUCCUAAUCUCUAGUUGAAAAUUUUACCUCUCUCUCUCUCAAUUGCCAAGCUUUGUAUGUUAAUUAAAAAUUUUGAUUUUGUGUUCAAUUAGAAGUUGAACUCGCUAUUGUAAUUAUGUUGCCCAAGGCUAUAAAUUGGGAACAACACGUUAACUCUCCGUGCAACAUGUAUAGGACCUGUCUUUACUCUUAUUCUUCUUCUUCAUUCACUGUUAUCCGCUGAGAAAACAUGAUACAAUGAAAAUACACUGUAAUAGAGGUGGAAGUAGAGCCAAAUUAAUAAAAAAAGAUUUCAAAUUGGGAACUGAUUAAGAAACAAUUACAAUCAAAGAUUUUGGAAACCAAUGAUUGACUCAUAGUAUAACAGUAUUGAUUAUUAGAAAGAUCUCUAAUUUGAGGUUUGCAAUUUCCAACCCUUUGAUUCGAUCACUCAAACCCAUCCCAAAAAAAAAUUGUGAAGGAAGACUUACUAAAGAAAGAGGCAUAUGGGUGCAACUACAGCGGGAAAUUGAAGAUUAAAGCUAUAAUUAUUCAGCUGGUUGGGAUGAUUUCAAGUUUCAACCACCAUUGAGAGAAAGAUGAUCGCAAUAUGACUGGAGGUUAUACCAUCAUCUUAGCACGGGUAGCAAAAUCCCUUCGUCCAUUGCUAGGUUCCACACCUUUAAGCUAAAUUUAGUAGCAAAUUUAGAUGAAGAAGGAUUUAUAGAAUUAUGGGUCUGUUUGAUUGGUCGUGGGAAAUAUUCCCACGUCAA
rnacentral:lncRNA from 1 species